AGAGUUACUUGUGCUUCGUAGUUCACUUACAUCUUGGAGUACUGCAUCUUCAGAUCUGUGAGUCUUCGCCGCCUAUUGCCUUCGCCACCAUGCUUGACGAAUGGUUUGAAACUGAUCACAUCCAACUUGAACGGAUAUCCUGCCCCUUCAUAGUGCUGUGAUUCCGUUCAAGCAGUUCAGUUGUCCGACAACCAUGGUGUGGUAGGACAGUAGUACUGCUAAGGCUUUGACAUUUUGAAGAUGCAGCACUACAAGAAGUGUGUGAGCAACGGGCUGGAUUCAAGAU
rnacentral:pre_miRNA from 1 species